rnacentral:lncRNA from 10 species
GCUCGGGUCCCCUUCCAGUCUGUGGGGUAUUUCCUCUUUUGCUGUUUGCAGUAAAUCUUGCUGCUGUUCAUUGUUUGGGUCCACACUGCCUUUAUGAGCUGUAACAUUCACUGUGAAGGUCUGCAGCUUAGCUCCUGAAGCCACUGAGACCACGAACCCACCAGAAGGAAGAAACUCUGAACACAUCCGAACAUCAGAAAGAACAAACUCUGGACACACCGCCUUUAGGAACUGUAACACUGACUGAGAGAGUCCCAGACUUCAUUCUUGAAUUACAGGGCUUUGACUCUUGGGUCUGAAGAAGGCACCAGCCCCUGCUAAAUUCUGAGCAUUGACACCAGUGGAAGCCUCAUCCUCAGACUUGGAAGAAGGCUGAAGUGCAGUGGCGCCAUCUCAGCUCACUGCAAGCUCCACCUCCCGGGUUCACACCAUUCUUCUGGAUAUUCGGCAGACUUCUAAGAGCAAACUUUCAAGUUCUAAAUUCAGUCUCUUGACCUUAAACUAACUUUCUUGGAUAUUAGGUUCCCUGAAGUCUGAGAGAGACAUAUUAGGCUGAUUUGUUACGUUAGGAUUAUGCAAGAAGCAUUGCCAAAUCUGAGAUGAUGUUUAACUUCCCUUGGGUUAUAUUUAUAUAGAUGUAUUGUUAGUAUGUGUUCCAGGAUUGUAUGAGAGUCCUAAAAUUCUGAUACGUCUUAAUAUAUGUUGUCAGUAGUAAUUAUUAUUAUAUUAAGUUGUUUUAUGCCACAGAAAUGAUUAAGUUUCCUUGUCAACUGUGUCUUUAACUAUGGCUGUCUGAAGACUUUUGUCAUCCACAAUUGAUGUUUUGCUGUGAUCCUUCUCAAAAGAAAAAAAGUGACUUACAAUCAGCUAUAGUCCAAAGCUUCCUUCUUUGGAGGAGUUCAUGAAAAAGACUCUUGAAUGCAGGUUUCUGAUAACUUUGGAGAUUGUGCCACUAGAUUAGAGAGAAAAUUUCCAGGGCACUAAUUGAAAGGCUGAUGUGCUCAUAAAGAUUCCCAACCCAAUACGAAGCAGAGCAGGAGGUGAUUGCAUGGACUGAACUAAUGCAGGACAGAAAGAACUUUUUAUGGCUUUUGUUGUUUGAAAUAUUGCUGAUUCUUUUGGUUUUGUUUUUCAGAGUCUGGAGAAUCUUUUUCUUUUGAGCUAUUUAUUUAUAGCCUUUAAGUGUAUUUAUAGUCUUAAAGUAUAUAUACUUCAAGGGUAUUGAAUGGAGUAUGCU